rnacentral:lncRNA from 1 species
CUUUGAUAAAUUAUGGCUAUGAAGAGGGGUAACUGCAUUUUUACACAUUAUAUUUUUACAGUAAUAAUAUAAAUUACAUUUUUUCCAAAAAAACACACAAAGAGGUGAUUUCUCUCCAGGGAGCUUGAAUCACUGUUUAUGUAUAUUGUUGGCAGUCUUUUGGCACAUGCUGCUUCUUGAUUCUUGAUUGUAACUGAAUGUUUGGAAACAGGAGCAAGACUUACUUUUGGGUAUCUCUUUCAUAACUUUAGAUAUGCAGUCAUGUGUUAAAUUACUCAAACUAUGGCCCAGAUGUCAGACAUAUGUCAAAUGGCCAAAUAUCAAGACAGGGCAUCUAUGUUCCACUAAAGCAGCAUCAUUUUCCAACCAUACUUCAUAGGUUUUAAGAAGAUGCUUGCCAUGUUGUCAACAGUCACCGCUGAGAUAAUGCAGUAGAACGAGUUAUACGAGAACCUGAAGGAACUAUGGAAAGUGAAAGAAUUAUUUUUUCUCAAAAAGCAGAUGUCCUUUCACAACAGGAAGGACAAUAUAAUUGUCAUUCUGACCAUUUGCCAAAUGAGGACACUGAGAUGAGAUGAGUCGCUUACAUUGCCCAUGGCCAAAUGGCUGGGUCUCCCUCUGUCACCCAGGAUGGAAUACAGUGAUGCAGUCAUGGCUCUCUGCUGCUUCCACCUCCCAGGCUCAAGUGAUCCUCCCACCUCAACCUCCCCAGCAGCACCAGCACACCCAGCUACCUUUUGAAGAGACAGGAUUUCACCAUGUUGCACCGGCUGGUCUCAAACUCACAGGCUUCAGCAAACCUCCUGCCUCAGUCUCCUAAAAUGCUGGGAUUAUAGAUAUGCGCCACCAUGCCUAGCCCUAAAGGGGAACAAGUCUUAGAAUUGUGUAUCUUCUCUUGAUCCUGUAAAGCCAGCUCUGGUGCUAAGAGCCUCCCAUUUAUUUUCACUAAGGAAGUGCUUUGAAGUACUCAACAUUAUGCAUCUUUUCCCACACCAGGAGAGUAGAGCCACCUGUUAAGAUUCACAACUGCUGGUGAGACACAGGUAUUUUCAGAUGGCACUCAUAUGAGGUAUCCACUGGGACAUGGGCUUGAUGUUCAUAGAGAGAGCCUGUGGGGUGCUGGGAG